UUCACAUUGUGUAUCCCGUGUCAUGCAUGUUGUCUUUUGCUUGUGUUUCUAAUACAGGAUAACACGGUUACAGGGUGAAAUGUAAAAUUACUUUGUGUUUUUUUUCUGAAAACGAAAGGCUCAUAGCAGUCGGACACCAACUUCUCUCUAGGGCCUGGUGGGUUUCACUAGCCUUCUACGUGGUGCCUGAGGUGCCCCCAGGGCUGGUUCUCAAGGCGCUUUCCAAUUAUGACUUGUCACUCUCCGAUGAUGACUUGUCACUCCAUUUUACUAGUACAGCCGAGGAAACAGCAGGGAGCGUGAGAUAACCAAUGACGUGGUUAAAUCGGCCCUUUUAUUCCAUUUCUGAACUCAGUUUUUUGGUCAUAUGCUUAAAGCCGAAUGGUAGGUUUGGGGUAGGAAGUUAGCUCUGGCCCCCAAGCAGAACCGAUGCUAUUGAAGCCAGUGCCAUAGGGGGUGUUUGGUGUGUGGUUUUUUUUAACAAGCCACGCCCUAGGUUUUCAACCUGACCUAAACUCUAGGCUCCCCUCCAGUCCCAAAUUCUCUCCCAGAAACCUCUGGAAGAGGGACUGUGAUAUGUGUGCCACGGAGGCUCAGACACAGGCUCAGGAGCCCGCCUGCCUGAGUCGGCCCCAGCUCCCACCUCCUGUGGGAACGUCACCUGUCAGCUCUCAGCUGCUUACUUCCUCCUCUGUACAGUGAGGGCAGCAGUCCCGACCCCUCGGGUGAUUUUUGUGGAUUAAAUGAGUAAAUAUGUGUAAAGCACUUAGAACGGUGCCCAUCACACCAUAAGCCUCAAAUGUUGCUGCUCUUACAGUUAGAAUGUACCCUCCAGAUCUGAGCCAAAGUAGUUUGUCCUCCCUGGCCCGGUUCACCACGGACCGCUCCCACCACCCGUGCAGAGGAUAGUAUUUGUCACUUAGUAGGUGUUACCUUACCAAAAAGAUUGCUUCUAUGCGAACAUACUUCUUAAAAACCAGGUUAAUUUUAAGGUAUAAGGGAAGUUUACCGAGCAAGAGUUUUCCCUCACCUAAGUCCCUUUAUGAUGGUAAAUUAGAUACUUGAGGAAGUGAAAUUAACACACUUCCCUAAGUAUUUAUUGCCAGAAAUUAUUUAAUGCCCUUUAUUUGGGGGGAAGGGGGGGGAAUGAAGGAUGAAGGGAUAAAAAUAAUCUAUAGUCAACAAGAAAAAGUUUGAAACUAUUUAGUCAUGUACGUAAUAUGUACGUAAUAUCAUUCAGAUUCACAUCUUUCCUACACGCAGUCUCGAAGCCAAUACGGUCUUCAGUGAAAUCUGACAUCUAUAGCUCUCGCUAGAGAAUUUUACUACUUUUGCUCUCCACUAGGUUAGUAGUUAUUUUUUUAUAUAACUGCGUUUUAAAAAUAACUCAGCCGUAGAGGAAAAAUAAUUCAGCCAUUUUUCUUUUCCUAAAACUAGAUCAUAAAGCCUAAGCGUAAAGCCUACCCCCACUUAAAUUUGUUAUACGGCUUUGUGUUUUAUUCCAAAAUCUCCCCCCCCCCAAAUUGUUUUGAAUAUCUUAAACAUAGAUAAAUAACCAUAGUUUUAGCAUACUGAUGACAAAAAGGAAAUGGGAUUCUGGCUUGGUCAUCCAGAAACAAGCCAGCAUCAGGUAUGUAGACCUGUCCAUCCAGUUACCUCAUCAGUACGAAGCACAUGGAGCACUGUUGUACGUGAAGUUACAGACCCACUUGGGCUACACACAUCCCCUUAUCCUUUGGCUUUUGCCUGGCAGUAAAUUUGCUGCAGGUAUACUUGUUGCCUUUUUUAAAUUAGGAUUUAUACACACAUCAGAGAUGUAAUUUUUUUAAAGGAUCAAAUAUUUUGUCCUAUCUUUAUUGAUAAUUAAGAAAGUAUAAUCAUCCUUUUUUAUUAAGUGUUUGACAAGGAACUCUCGGGCUCCAGGCUAACCUGGAGUUCGCAGACCCCCCAGUCCAGUUUCAGGGUUCGGGAGGUGAGUAGCAGAGGGAACCCCUCUCCCCCCCCGCCCCCCGCCCUGUCUUAUUCGCAUCACCGGUCCUCCUGUCACCAUCAGUGGAUGAAAAGGGAGGACUUCACAUCCUCCCUGUUUGGGGGCGUAGAGAAAAGGUCUGUGUUUGAGCGGACGGCCCCCAGGAGAGUCCCACAACUGACUGCAGGCCACUGCAUUUCCCCGUUUUCUUACUUGGCCCUAAGCAUUUAUGGCUGAACAUGUUCGCUCAGGAAAGAGCACUGUGUAUAGUGUUCCCACUUACCUGUGCGCCAAAAUGGAGAGAUGGUUUGUUUAGGGCCUAGAUGUGAAAUUUUCAUCUCUUCUGAGGUUGAUGUCAUAAAACGGAAAAUGCUGUCUAAGUCCUCAUUCAAAAGCUUUUACUAAUAUUCAGAAAGCAAAUUUAUGGCAAACAAACAAAAACAGUGCAGAGGCCUUCAUAACGCUGAUUGCAGGAGGUCAGCUGCCGUGCAAAGGUAAGUGGUUCGUGUCCGCUGCUUAUGGAGCACACGUUCUUGCUGCUCUUCUUUCUCUUCAAAGAGACCAGUUUUUCCCAUUUUGUUUUGUUUGGUUGGGUAUUUUUUGCCUUGUUUUUGUUUUCUUUCUUUUUCUUAAGGAAAAAAUACUUUUAUGCACAAAAGUCCACUAGGGCGUGCUUUACAUGUUGCAAGAAAUAAAAUAACACAUUUUUGUGUGUGUAUUGCUUCCCAAAGGAAUAUAUCCGUUUGGAAUGCCUGGGAACUAUCUGUUAUCUUAUCACUCUUUUGAAAUAGGGGGUGAGGGACAUACAACUUUGAAGGGGACACACAAAUAAUCCCCACAUGGGUACUCUCACUGGUAUUUGAUUCUCGUAAAUGUACUAGUUGAUUAAAUGUGUGUGUGUAUUAAGCCAUGAGACGCCAUAUUCAUUAGGUAGAACUGAAGACAUGUAUUUACAAAUAGUCAUAGCCCACAUUCUUUGGAAGAAAGUAUCUAUACUCAAAAUAGUAUUUUCUAUUUUUGCUGAAAUUUAUAGAACCUAUAAGAACACUUUAUUAUGCUCAUAAGAAAA